rnacentral:rRNA from 1 species
UUNUGAACUGGGUGACUAGAGUGUGUCAGAGGGAGGUAGAAUUCCACGUGUAGCAGUGAAAUGCGUAGAGAUGUGGAGGAAUACCGAUGGCGAAGGCAGCCUCCUGGGAUAACACUGACGUUCAUGCCCGAAAGCGUGGGUAGCAAACAGGAUUAGAUACCCUGGUAGUCCACGCCCUAAACGAUGUCGAUUAGCUGUUGGGCAGCAUGACUGCUUAGUAGCGAAGCUAACGCGUGAAAUCGACCGCCUGGGGAGUACGGUCGCAAGAUUAAAACUCAAAGGAAUUGACGGGGACCCGCACAAGCGGUGGAUGAUGUGGAUUAAUUCGAUGCAACGCGAAGAACCUUACCUGGUCUUGACAUGUACGGAACCCUCCAGAGACGGAGGGGUGCCUUCGGGAGCCGUAACACAGGUGCUGCAUGGCUGUCGUCAGCUCGUGUCGUGAGAUGUUGGGUUAAGUCCCGCAACGAGCGCAACCCUUGUCAUUAGUUGCCAUCAUUAAGUUGGGCGCUCUAAUGAGACUGCCGGUGACAAGCCGGAGGAAGGUGGGGAUGACGUCAAGUCCUCAUGGCCCUUAUGACCAGGGCUUCACACGUCAUACAAUGGUCGGUACAGAGGGUAGCCAAGCCGCGAGGUGGAGCCAAUCUCACAAAACCGAUCGUAGUCCGGAUUGCACUCUGCAACUCGAGUGCAUGAAGUCGGAAUCGCUAGUAAUCGCAGGUCAGCAUACUGCGGUGAAUACGUUCCCGGGUCUUGUACACACCGCCCGUCACACCAUGGGAGUGGGGGAUACCAGAAGU